rnacentral:rRNA from 1 species
AUGACUCCCAAAGAGAUCGCCGCCAAGGAAAAAGAGCUGAACGAGCGUGCCAACGCUCUUGACGCCCGCGAGACCCAGCUCAAUCAACAAGCCACCGACACCGGCAAAGCAAACGCAACCUCAGCACCUAGCCCUUCCACCUACGCCACCUCCAUCAAAAUCCAUGUUCCCAUUACCCUAGACCUCGCUGCCUCCAACUACACCAACUGGCGCGAGCUGUUCCUUGUCGCCCUUGGCCGCUAUGGCCUCACCUCCCAUGUCGUCAGCAAGGACGGUGCUACACCCUCCGACACCUCGCCCACCUCUGAUUGGGGCCGCGAUGAUUAUACGGUCCUCUCCUGGAUCUAUGGCUCCAUCUCCGCCGAUCUUCUCGGCAUCGUCAUGCGCCCUGGAUCUUCGGCGCGCACCAUCUGGGACGCCAUCGAGAACCUCUUCCGCGACAACAAGAAACAUCGGGCGAUCCAGCUCGAGGCGGAGUUCCGUAAUACCCCGCAAGGCGACAUGACGAUCAGCGACUACUGCACCAAACUCAAGGCUCUCGCGGAUGCGCUUGUGGACGUUGGCCAACCGAUCAGCGAUGAAACACUCGUCCUCACCCUCCUCCGCGGCCUCAACGACAACUUUGCACAUCUCCGCUCUUUUCUUCCAUUUCAGGUUCCCUUCCCCACGUUCCUGCAGACGCGCUCAGCACUAAUCCUGGAGGAGAAUCAGAAGAAGACCGACGCCAAAAACACCGCGUCCACGGCGCUCUGGGCAAGCGGCAACAGCGUUCUCUACGAACGCGCUCCUCCUUCCGGCUCCGGGGGCGCGACUGGCGAGCACGCUCCCUCCUCUGGCUACGGGGGGCGGACGUGGCCAGUUCAACCCCUGGACCGGUGCUCCUACGCGCGCCAACCUGCUUCAGCAGCAGCACUCUGUCGUCCCAUGGCAGCAGCCUCAGACGCCAUGGCAGCCUCGCCCAUGGCAAGCUCCUACACAAGGUCUACUUGGUUCCCGCCCACCAACACCAAUGGCUCCGCAGGCGUACCCUGCUUAUGGCACCAACAACCAAAACCUCUCCAUGCGGCCGUCAACGUCCUCAAGCUCGGCGAUCGACCCAGCUCUCCUAGCGGCCCUCAACAAUAUGCAGCUCCCUGGCUCACACGAGUGAUACAUGCGAAAUCAUUCAGGGGGGAACUGUACCAGAUGGCCCAUCCGCUCGCACAAAAGGACAGACACAUGUGGGCUUCGAAAGCAAGCAUCUCCAGAAAGAGAGACAGAGGAGUCAUCCGCGGUCGCCGCGUGACAUUUUCUCCUCCGUCUUCCUGUGGAGCUAGCUCGGCGGCGGGGGAAGAAACGAGAGAAGGAACGAGAUCUGAGAGGCAGCUUCGCUUGCCGGGGAGGGAGGAGGGGGGAUCAUUCGCCAGUCCGGUCGAAUGCGAGCAGGUCUGUCUGAGCAACUGCUCUUGCAGUGCAUAUACCUUUGGAAGUGGUGGCUGUUCUAUGUGGCAUGGUGGAUUGCUGAAUGUAAAACAACACCACCAGAUUGAUGGUGCUUCCAGCGGUGAUGGCGAAAUUCUUCACAUCCGCCUCGCGGCAAAAGAGUUCCGGACUCGGAAAAACAACAAUGUAGUUAUCAUUUUAGGUGCCAUUGGUGCAGGCCUCAACGCUCUGGGUAUCUUGGUACUCAUCGUAGUGCUACGCAGGACCAGGAGGAACAAAAGGUACAGUGAAACAUUAGACAAAAUCCAUGGUGGUAGUGGGCUUGUUUCAUUCAGAUACAGCGAUUUGCGGCGUGCAACUAGAGAUUUCUCGGAGAAGAUUGGGGCAGGUGGUUUUGGUUCUGUGUUCAAGGGGUCACUAAAUGAUUCGACCACUAUAGCCGUGAAAAGGCUUCACGGUUGUUAUCAACAAGAGAAGCAAUUCAGGGCUGAGGAUAAAGAGCCCCAGCUGAUGAUGCUUUGA